CGGAAAGGAGUGGACCAUGAGGAGGGAAGCUCCAGCCAUGCCAAGGUGCCCACCAGCCUCCUCCCUGGGGGCAAGAGGAGGGUGCCUGGCGAGGGCCUCAGGACACACAGCUAACUCCCACCUACAGCUGCACUUGGCCGGCCCGGCACGUUCCAUCCGUCAUCCUCUCCGCUCACGUCAGCAGCCCGGGAGCACAGAAUGGAU
rnacentral:lncRNA from 1 species